rnacentral:pre_miRNA from 10 species
UGGAGCGGGGGGGCAGGAGGGGCUCAGGGAGAAAGUGCAUGCAGCCCCUGGCCCUCUCUGCCCUUCCGUCCCCUGCUCUUAGCC